rnacentral:rRNA from 1 species
CCCUUAGAUGUCCUGGGCUGCACGCGCGCUACACUGAUGUGUCCAGUAAGCACCUAACCUCUUCCGAAAGGAACGGGUAACCUUUGCAAAGCACAUCGUGAUGGGGAUAGAUUAUUGCAAUUAUUAGUCUCGAACGAGGAAUUCCUAGUAAGCACAAGUCAUCAGCUUGUGUUGAUUACGUCCCUGCCCUUUGUACACACCGCCCGUCGCUCCUACCGAUUGAAUGUUCCGGUGAGCUCUUCGGACUGCGCGGUCUGCAGUUUCUGCGUUCCGUGCGGAAAGUUGCGCAAACCUUAACAUUUAGAGGAAGGAGAAGUCGUAACA